rnacentral:rRNA from 1 species
GGGGUUUUNANUUGAUCCUGGCUCAGAACGAACGCUGGCGGCAUGCCUAAUACAUGCAAGUCGAACGAGAUCUUCGGAUCUAGUGGCGCACGGGUGCGUAACGCGUGGGAAUCUGCCCUUGGGUUCGGAAUAACUUCUGGAAACGGAAGCUAAUACCGGAUGAUGACGUAAGUCCAAAGAUUUAUCGCCCAAGGAUGAGCCCGCGUAGGAUUAGCUAGUUGGUGAGGUAAAGGCUCACCAAGGCGACGAUCCUUAGCUGGUCUGAGAGGAUGAUCAGCCACACUGGGACUGAGACACGGCCCAGACUCCUACGGGAGGCAGCAGUAGGGAAUAUUGGACAAUGGGCGAAAGCCUGAUCCAGCAAUGCCGCGUGAGUGAUGAAGGCCUUAGGGUUGUAAAGCUCUUUUACCCGGGAUGAUUNCN